GUGGGCCUACGGGAGGCAGCAGUGAGGAAUAUUGGUCAAUGGUCGGGAGACUGAACCAGCCAAGCCGCGUGAGGGAUGAAGGUACAGAGUAUCGUAAACCUCUUUUGUCAGGGAACAAAGGCGGGGACGCGUCCCCGGAUGAGUGUACCUGAAGAAAAAGCAUCGGCUAACUCCGUUCCAGCAGCCGCGGUAAUACGGAGGAUGCGAGCGUUAUCCGGAUUUAUUGGGUUUAAAGGGUGCGCAGGCGGUCUGUUAAGUCAGCGGUAAAAAUUCGGGGCUCAACCCCGUCCGGC
rnacentral:rRNA from 1 species